rnacentral:tRNA from 2 species
GGGCCUGUAGCUCAGUUGGUAGAGCACCUGCUUUGCAAGCAGGGGGUCAUCGGUUCGAAUCCGUUCAGGUCCACCA